AUUGAACGCUGGCGGCAUGCCUUACACAUGCAAGUCGAACGGUAACAGGUCUUCGGAUGCUGACGAGUGGCGAACGGGUGAGUAAUACAUCGGAACGUGCCUAGUAGUGGGGGAUAACUACUCGAAAGAGUGGCUAAUACCGCAUGAGAUCUAUGGAUGAAAGCAGGGGAUCGCAAGACCUUGUGCUACUAGAGCGGCCGAUGGCAGAUUAGGUAGUUGGUGGGGUAAAAGCUUACCAAGCCGACGAUCUGUAGCUGGUCUGAGAGGACGAUCAGCCACACUGGGACUGAGACACGGCCCAGACUCCUACGGGAGGCAGCAGUGGGGAAUUUUGGACAAUGGGCGAAAGCCUGAUCCAGCAAUGCCGCGUGCAGGAUGAAGGCCUUCGGGUUGUAAACUGCUUUUGUACGGAACGAAAAGCCCCGGGUUAAUACCCUGGGGUCAUGACGGUACCGUAAGAAUAAGCACCGGCUAACUACGUGCCAGCCGCCGCGGUAA
rnacentral:rRNA from 1 species